rnacentral:tRNA from 1 species
GGAGAGGUGCCGGAGUGGUUGAACGGGCUCGUCUCGAAAACGAGAAUAGCCGCAAGGUUAUCGAGGGUUCGAAUCCCUCCCUUUCCG